GGACCCACAGGAGGGGUCUGGGCAGGGCAGCGGUGUGAACGACCGAGGCUCCAACAGGACCUCUGGGAGGCGGCCACCGGUGAAGAAGACAUGCCAGUUAAGAUGUGGAUAUAUGGGAUGUGAUGUCUGGUGCCACAGCAGCCACUGGGACCCAUGAAGACAGGAGACGUGAAGAACCCAGAUAACCGAUCCAGGAACAGCCCCACAUCCAGACUUCCUGUUCUAAGAUUUAAUUAAAUGCCUUCACCGUUCCAGGCA